rnacentral:lncRNA from 1 species
AGUGGCAGCAUUAGAUUCCAAUAGGAGUGUGAACCCUAUUGUGAGCUGCGCGUGCGAGGGGUCUAGGCUGCGCGCUCCUUGUGAGACGCACUCCUUAUAAGAAUCUAACGCCUGAUGAUCUGUCAUUGUUUCCCAUCACCUCCAGAUGGAACCGUCUAGUUGCAGGAAAGCAAGAUGUCAGGGCUCCCACUGAUUCUACAUUAUGGGUGUGAAAGAAGAGUCAUCAUUCCUUCAAUCUAAAAGGAUUACAUCAAUUCAGUAUUGAACAACAGUUUCAUAAUGCAGUUCCAGAAAAUGGAGUGACUGCCAAUUAAAAAUGUGGGAAGAGAAAGUCUCCAUCUCCCUGAAGGAACAUACAGAGUCCUUUUAAGAUAAGUACAUUUAAAGAAAAUCGUUAUGCACAACACUAACUUCAUUGUAGGUUUUUGGCUCUCUUUCAUAUGACUAUGUCUUUGCAGAUGCCUUUAGUACCAGUGGGGAGUCUAUACUGGAAAUGCAUUCUUCGCCACUUGGCAGAGUAUUCACAGUAAAUGAAUAUCAGAGCUAGGAUUUUGUUGUUAGUUUUUUAUCUGUGGCUGGCUAAAAAGACAGACUUUUACCUACAGGUUGGAUUAUACUAAACAAAAAGAAGGAUAAGCAGAUUUUCUUUUAAGGCAAGACCAAAGGAAGGAAGGAAGACCAAAUCAAAUUUUCAUUUUGAAACAAUGAACAAUAGCAGACAAGUUGGUUAGCAGGGACACUACGUUUAAAUAUUUGUGUGUGUUUGCAUGUGGGGGGGUCUGUGUGUCUCAAAAUAGGAGCAGAAGGGCAGACUGAACACGUGUUCUUUCCCACCCCAAUUACUCUGAUAUGAUCAAAUAAAUAAAUACAUUCGUAACGCACUAGAAAACAAGAAAGGGUGGUGUCAACAUCAAAGAUGUUGAGAUAUUUAUAAAAGAUAUAGAGCAGAUAGGAUUGAAUUCUUCAUAAAAAAAAAGACCAGAAAAAAACACAUAGGAGAGAGAGAGUGCAGAGAUGAGAGUGCUUAUGGGAACUUCAGGCAGCCUUAGGAGGUCAAGGAGCAAUUGUCACAGUGAUUAACUGGGGCAGUGCAUUUAGAGGGACUAGGCUGAUCAGCCAGCCCCCCUACCUCCUGACUAAGCUGAGCAAAAGAGAGCAGGAAUUGCCCUCAGGCUAAACAGAUGAGCAUGGGCUCUGAGACCAAAGAGAUGGGACAAUUCAUUGUCACAAGUAGCUAGUGAUACCCUUGAGACCAGCUGAAACCUCCUCCUAGCAGAAUGCCCUGUCCUGUCCCCACGAUCACUGCAGAUAAACUCCUGUAAUCCGAAUCAAUUUCUACUAAAAUGUGAACAAGUUAUUCAAAUAUGUAUGCCAACAAAACUAAGAUUCCAAGAUAAAGAAAAAUGUGGGAUAUAAGAAAGCAUGAUAAGAAAAAAAUAUAUAUAUAGUUAAGUUUAAAUCUUUUUUCUUUAAUUUCAGCUUUUAUUUUAGAUAUGAGGACGGGAGCUACAUGUGUAAGAUGUGUACACAUAAAUGUGUACAUUAUAUGUGUACACAUAAAUGUGUACAUUAUAUGUGUACACAUAAAUGUGU